rnacentral:pre_miRNA from 1 species
UAAGAAUGGCAAGUACAUACAGUUAUAGUAAAACCUUAGCAUACAUGAGUUAUAUUAUGCGAUACUAUAAUUUUAUGUAUUUCAGGACGUUCUUA